UGGCCACAAUGAAUUGAAGUGACUCUCCGU
rnacentral:piRNA from 1 species